rnacentral:sRNA from 21 species
CCACGCCGCCCCUGUGGGCGUUUCCUCCCUAGACUUCGGGCCGUUCCGCAAGGGCGGCCUUUUUUGUUGCUGCGC